GAUCAUGGCUCAGAUUGAACGCUGGCGGCAGGCUUAACACAUGCAAGUCGAACGGUAACAUGAAGAAGCUUGCUUCUUUGAUGACGGGUGGCGGACGGGUGAGUAAUGCUUGGGAAUCUAGCUUAUGGAGGGGGAUAACUACGGGAAACUGUAGCUAAUACCGCGUAGUAUCGAGAGAUGAAAGUGUGGGACCUUCGGGCCACAUGCCAUAGGAUGAGCCCAAGUGGGAUUAGGUAG
rnacentral:rRNA from 1 species